rnacentral:tRNA from 1 species
ACCAGCAUAGCGUAGUGGUUUGAGUGUUGGACUAUGACUCAGGAGAGCAGGGUUCAAUCCCCUGUUCUGCCA